rnacentral:rRNA from 1 species
CGUGAGAUGUUGGGUUAAGUCCCGUAACGAGCGCAACCCUUGUCCUUAUUUGCCAGCAACUCGGUUGGGCACUCUAGGGAGACUGCCGGUGACAAGCCGGAGGAAGGUGGGGACGACGUCAAGUCAUCAUGGCCCUUACGGCCAGGGCUACACACGUGCUACAAUGGGGCGUACAAAGGGCUGCAAGCCUGCGAAGGUUAGCUAAUCCUCAAAACGUCUCGUAGUCCGGAUCGCAGUCUGCAACUCGACUGCGUGAAGUCGGAAUCGCUAGUAAUCGUAGAUCAGCAUGCUACGGUGAAUACGUUCCCGGGCCUUGUACACACCGCCCGUCACACCAUGGGAGUGGGUUGCAAAAGAAGUGGGUAGUCUAACUUCGGAGGACGCUCACCACUUUGUGAUUCAUGACUGGGGUGAAGUCGUAACAAGGUAGCCGUAGGGGAACCUGCGGCUGGAUCACCUCCUUAACGA